UUUUUUUUUGAGACAGGGUCUCACUGUGUUGCCGAAGGCUGGAGUGUAGUGGCACGAUCUCAGCUCACAGCAGCCUCAACCUCCCUGGGCUCAAGGGAUCCUCGUGCCUCAGCCUCCCCAGUAGCUGGGAUUACAGGUGUAUGCCACCAUUCUUGGCAAAUUUUUUUAGAGAAUGGGUUUCGCCAUGUUGCCCAGGCUGGUCUUGAACUCCUGGGCUCAAGAGAUCUACCCACCUCAGCCUCCCAAAGUGCUGGGAUUACAGGUGUGAGCCACCGCACCCGACCACAGAAUCAAUUUCUUAUUGUCUUAAGCCACCCAGUCUGUACCCAUUUGCUACAGUAGCCCUGGGACGCUAAUACAGGACAAUAGAGAGAAAACACAACCACUAAUAAAAAUCAUUGCAAUUACCAUCCCAAUACACAAAGGACCCAAGGCCACUCACUUGAGAUUCCCUGUCCCCAGUCUCCCAGCCCAGCCAAGGAGGCAAAACCAGUGUGAUGAUUCCCAUCAGGCAGGAAGACCCCACAAGGCUCAGAGAGGGCCAAAGCGUGCACAGGACACCGAGUGAGCUCUACCUCGCUCCUAGGGAUUCUGAUUCCAAAUACGGGGUUCCUUCUGCUAAGUCACACUCAAAUCAACAUCCUGAAGACACAACAGAAAGAACAAUGGAAAUUGUCCAUUUUUAGAAUUUUCUUCCCCAAACUAUCAAGGUAGCUAAAUGUUCAGCUUUGUUAACAAAAAUAAAAGAAAAAAAGAAAAAAAAAAAGCUGUCCUGGGAGACAGAGCUGAGAACUGUCUUGGGGAACCAUUUCCAAGACAAAGGGGAUUCAAGACCCUCAACUAAAAUAUACUGAAGGUGGUAGCCCCCAGCAGUCUGGCAGUGACUACAGGUGCCACACCCAGGCCGGCUGAGGCUGGAUUCAAAUCGCCCUCAGGUUUGUUACCCACCUAACUUGGGACAGUUGUCGCAUCCCUGAGAGGCAGGUUCCUUGGCUAUCAACUCCAACUGUCCAAAAAACACUACAAUUACCCAACAGUCAGAUGAGGAUGUGGAGAAAUAAGAACCUUUGUGCACCGUCGGUGAGAAUGUAAAACGGUGUAGCCACCGUGAAAAACGGUCUGGUAAUUCCUCAAAAAUUUAAAUAUAGGAUUACCCUUUGAUGCAGAAACUCCACUUUCGGGUAUAAACCCAAAAGAACUGAAAGCAAGGAUUCAAACAUAUUAUUGUCCACCCAUGUUCUUAGUUGUGCCAUUCACAAUAGCCAAAAGCAGCCCAACUGUCCAUCUACGGAUGGGUGGAUAAGCAAAAUGUGGUCUAUCCAUACGAUAGAAUAUUAUUCAGCCUCAAAAAGGAAGGAGAUUGUAACACAUGCUACAACAAGGAUGGACCUCGAAGACACUAUACUAAGUGAAAUGAGCCAGGCACAAAAGGACAAGCACUAUGAUUCCACUUACCUGAGGAACCUAGAAUAGUCACAUUCAGAGAGACAGAAUGGAGAAUGGGGGGCUGGGGAGAGGGGAAAUGGGAAGUUAGUGUUUAAUGGGGCCAGAGCUCUGUUUGGGAUGAUGGAAAACCUCUGGAGAUGGACGGUGGUGAUGGUUGCAUAUCAAUUGCAAUGUACUUAUUGCCACCGAACUGUGCACUUAAAAAUGGUUAAAAUGGUAAAUCUAAUGUUUAUCUUACCACAAUUUUAAAAACUCACAAUCGAAGCACUGUGAGAAUCACUGGAGAUACACAGAAAGCCCACAGCACAGAGUGGACCCUUGAUCAAUGGUAUUUUUAAGAUUAAAAUGCUAAUAACUGAGCUGGCUAAUAAAACGCAAGGAAAUUCAUGCAAAAGACCUUGAGUCAGAAAGGACUGGUUAAAUACAACACCAAGAGCAGACUCACGCACCCAGCGGGCCUCGCCCCACCAGCUAUUCCUCACUUCUUAACAGAGGCAAUAAUUAAAAAUGUCCUGUUUUAUGAAAAGAUUCCGUUUCUGCAGGUAGUGACUCCAUUUUUGCAUUCACCUCCCUGGAGAAGUCCUGAGCCCUCUGAUCCCUUCCUUGAGAAUCAUACAAUACUGGCCCAGCAGCAGCUCCAUGAUUCACGAGCUCACUCCUCUCCCUUGGCUGCUCCUACUCACACCUGCCAGGUACGAGGCCGGGUGGGAGGGGCAGGCCAGGAGCCAGAUGCAAGGACAGGAGCAGGAUGCCCACGUGGGCCACAGGCUCGAGGAGGCUUGAAUUCAAAUCCCGCCUGUGCCGUCCACCAGAUGCGCAAGGAAAACAAAUUCGCAUCUGCAAAAACCAGGAGCAGGUCCUGUCACCUCUCACCUGUGAACUAUGAAAGGAGCUGCCUGGAAAGCCCAAAUUCAGAUCUGGGAAAGAAGGCUCCACCUGGGGCACCCCACCGCAGUGAGUUCCUCUAGGGCAAGGACGCUGUCAUGCCCAUUUCUGGAUCCCUACACUCUAGCCCAGGGUCUGGCACAUGUAUGACCAGCAUAUGAAGGAAGACCUGGGGGACCCUCUCAGGGACCAUAUCUGAGUUUGAUCUGGUUUCCCCGGCAUAACGCUGGGCCCACAGAGGGGCCCCUGCCCACCAAGGGUUCCGUCCCACUUCUUUUUGGGUAAAAGUGACCAGCCUUGAUUAUGUUGGAAUAAACUAUAUAUCAUGGUUCAGACUAUUUGGGUUUAAUUGUGAAAUAUACACAGAACACAGCCCCUCCACCCCAACCCUGCCCUCAGGUUUGAAAAGUCAAGUACAUUUGGUUCCCCUCUCCCCCUACCAUAAAAACAACAAAGAACGCCUCAGGCUUUCGUAAGGGCUGUGAUUUCUUUCACGUGGGGAAAAAAAUGGAUUCCACUGCCCUGUGUACAAAAACAAGGAGGACGCUCAUAAGAGAAUGAGGCUAGCAGCGCUUUCUGUGUUUCCUCUGCUUUCUCUCAUGGGUGUAGACACCGCCUUUUCUGGGUCUUCAUCAUCCCCCAGCAUCUCCUGGGCACCUGCUGGGACUCAGCCCCGCCCCAGCCACUGGAGACACAGAGAUGAGCCUGGUCGAGGAAAUGGACUUGGUCAAGGCUGGCGUGGGACCACAUGCCAAGUCCCUGACUCCCAGUCAGACCCCCAAAACCC
rnacentral:lncRNA from 1 species